UACGAAGGGGGCUAGCGUUGUUCGGAAUCACUGGGCGUAAAGCGCACGUAGGCGGAUCUUUAAGUCAGAGGUGAAAUCCCAAGGCUCAACCUUGGAACUGCCUUUGAUACUGAAGAUCUUGAGUUCGGGAGAGGUGAGUGGAACUGCGAGUGUAGAGGUGAAAUUCGUAGAUAUUCGCAAGAACACCAGUGGCGAAGGCGGCUCACUGGCCCGGUACUGACGCUGAGGUGCGAAAGCGUGGGGAGCAAACAGG
rnacentral:rRNA from 1 species